rnacentral:rRNA from 1 species
AUUGAACGCUGGCGGCAUGCUUUACACAUGCAAGUCGAACGGUAACAGGCCUUCGGGUGCUGACGAGUGGCGAACGGGUGAGUAAUGCAUCGGAACGUACCCAGAGGUGGGGGAUAACGCAGCGAAAGCUGUGCUAAUACCGCAUGUGAUCUGAGGAUGAAAGCGGGGGACCGAGCAGCAAUGUUUGGCCUCGCGCCUUUGGAGCGGCCGAUGUCGGAUUAGCUAGUUGGUGGGGUAAAGGCCUACCAAUGCGACGAUCCGUAGCUGGUCUGAGAGGACGACCAGCCACACUGGGACUGAGACACGGCCCAGACUCCUACGGGAGGCAGCAGUGGGGAAUUUUGGACAAUGGGCGCAAGCCUGAUCCAGCAAUGCCGCGUGCGGGAAGAAGGCCUUCGGGUUGUAAACCGCUUUUGGCAGGAACGAAACGGUGUCCGCUAAUACCGGGCGCUAAUGACGGUACCUGCAGAAUAAGCACCGGCUAACUACGUG